GGUAUUUGAGGUGGUAAAAUUCGUAGCGACCACACGCCGCCGGUAACGACAGGAACUUCGGUUCUGAGAGAUGCAGGAGAAUGCUACGCCUGCCAAAUACC
rnacentral:ncRNA from 1 species